GACAGAGGGUGCAAACGUUGUUCGGAAUUACUGGGCGUAAAGCGCAUGUAGGCGGUUCGUAAAGUCAGAUGUGAAAGCCCUGGGCUUAACCCAGGAAGUGCAUUUGAAACUCACGAACUUGAGUCCCGGAGAGGAAGGCGGAAUUCUCGGUGUAGAGGUGAAAUUCGUAGAUAUCGAGAGGAACAUCGGUGGCGAAGGCGGCCUUCUGGACCGUAACUGACGCUGAGACACGAAAGCGUGGGUAGCAAACAGG
rnacentral:rRNA from 1 species